rnacentral:rRNA from 1 species
CCUACGGGAGGCAGCAGUGAGGAAUAUUGGUCAAUGGACGAGAGUCUGAACCAGCCAAGUAGCAUGAAGGAUGACUGCCCUAUGGGUUGUAAACUUCUUUUAUAUGGGAAUAAAACAGGGUAUGCAUACCCUCUUGUAUGUACCAUAUGAAUAAGGAUCGGCUAACUCCGUGCCAGCAGCCGCGGUAAUACGGAGGAUCCGAGCGUUAUCCGGAUUUAUUGGGUUUAAAGGGAGCGUAGGUGGAUUGUUAAGUCAGUUGUGAAAGUUUGCGGCUCAACCGUAAAAUUGCAGUUGAAACUGGCAGUCGUGAGUACAGUAGAGGUGGGCGGAAUUCGUGGUGUAGCGGUGAAAUGCUUAGAUAUCACGAAGAACUCCGAUUGCGAAGGCAGCUCACUGGACUGCAACUGACACUGAUGCUCGAAAGUGUGGGUAUCAAACAGGAUUAGAUACCCGAGUAGUC